rnacentral:rRNA from 1 species
AGAGUUUGAUCCUGGCUCAGAUUGACCUCUGGCGGCAUGCCUUACACAUGCAAGUCGAACGGCAGCACGGGAGCUUGCUCCUGGUGGCGAGUGGCGAACGGGUGAGUAAUAUAUCGGAACGUACCCUAGAGUGGGGGAUAACGCAACGAAAGUUGCGCUAAUACCGCAUACGAUCUACGGAUGAAAGUGGGGGAUCGCAAGACCUCAUGCUCAUGGAGCGGCCGAUAUCUGAUUAGCUAGUUGGUGGGGUAAAGGCCUACCAAGGCAUCGAUCAGUAGCUGGUCAGAGAGGACGACCAGCCACACUGGAACUGAGACACGGUCCAGACUCCUACGGGAGGCAGCAGUGGGGAAUUUUGGACAAUGGGGGCAACCCUGAUCCAGCAAUGCCGCGUGAGUGAAGAAGGCCUUCGGGUUGUAAAGCUCUUUUGUCAGGGAAGAAACGGUGAGGGCUAAUAUCCUUUGCUAAUGACGGUACCUGAAGAAUAAGCACCGGCUAACUACGUGCCAGCAGCCGCGGUAAUACGUAGGGUGCAAGCGUUAAUCGGAAUUACUGGGCGUAAAGCGUGCGCAGGCGGUUAUGUAAGUCAGAUGUGAAAUCCCCGGGCUCAACCUGGGAAUGGCAUUUGAGACUGCAUGGCUAGAGUGUGUCAGAGGGGGGUAGAAUUCCACGUGUAGCAGUGAAAUGCGUAGAGAUGUGGAGGAAUACCGAUGGCGAAGGCAGCCCCCUGGGAUAACACUGACGCUCAUGCACGAAAGCGUGGGGAGCAAAAAGGAUUUGNUNCCCUGGUNGUCCNCGCCCUCACCCAUCAAAGGUAGUUGUCGGGACUUAAUUUUCUUGGUAACGCAGAUAACGCGGGAAGUGGCCCGCCUGGGGAGUACGGUCGCAAGAUUAAAACUCAAAGGAAUUGACGGGGACCCGCACAAGCGGUGGAUGAUGUGGAUUAAAUUCGAUGCAACGCGAAAAACCUUACCUACCCUUGACAUGUACGGAACCUCUGAGAGAUUAGAGGGUGCUCGAAAGAGAGCCGUAACACAGGUGCUGCAUGGCUGUCGUCAGCUCGUGUCGUGAGAUGUUGGGUUAAGUCCCGCAACGAGCGCAACCCUUGUCAUUAGUUGCUACGAAAGGGCACUCUAAUGAGACUGCCGGUGACAAACCGGAGGAAGGUGGGGAUGACGUCAAGUCCUCAUGGCCCUUAUGGGUAGGGCUUCACACGUCAUACAAUGGUACAUACAGAGGGCCGCCAACCCGCGAGGGGGAGCUAAUCCCAGAAAGUGUAUCGUAGUCCGGAUUGUAGUCUGCAACUCGACUACAUGAAGUUGGAAUCGCUAGUAAUCGCGGAUCAGCAUGUCGCGGUGAAUACGUUCCCGGGUCUUGUAAUCACCGCCCGUCA